GGUUUUCGAACUGGAAUAGCACCUUGUCUAACAGGGUGUCUGGAGUGUUCUCGCUGGCCCUUGAAAAUCCGAGGGAUAGAUUUAUUCGCACUCUCGAUCGUACCCAUAACCGCAUCAGGUCUCCAAGGUUAGAAGCCUCUGGUCCGUAGGACAAAGUAGAUAAGGGAAGUCGGCAAAAUAGGUCCGUAACUUCGGGAAAAGGACUGGCUCUGAGGUUUGGUAUGUGGAACCUGGAUUAAUCGUUGGAGUC
rnacentral:rRNA from 1 species